rnacentral:rRNA from 1 species
CUACGGGCGGCUCCAGUGGGGAAUAUUGCACAAUGGGCGCAAGCCUGAUGCAGCCAUGCCGCGUGUAUGAAGAAGGCCUUCGGGUUGUAAAGUACUUUCAGCGGGGAGGAAGGGAGUAAAGUUAAUACCUUUGCUCAUUGACGUUACCCGCAGAAGAAGCACCGGCUAACUCCGUGCCAGCAGCCGCGGUAAUACGGAGGGUGCAAGCGUUAAUCGGAAUUACUGGGCGUAAAGCGCACGCAGGCGGUUUGUUAAGUCAGAUGUGAAAUCCCCGGGCUCAACCUGGGAACUGCAUCUGAUACUGGCAAGCUUGAGUCUAGUAGAGGGGGGUGGAAUUCCAGGUGUAGCGGUGAAAUGCGUAGAGAUCUGGAGGAAUACCGGUGGCGAAGGCGGCCCCCUGGACGAAGACUGACGCUCAGGUGCGAAAGCGUGGGGAGCAAACAGGAUUAGAUACCCUCGUAGUC